UGACACAAAUUCUAACUAAAGGGCCCACAGUAAUUGGUGUAAACUGUUGUGGUGUCCCCGCCUCUUUUUAUGUCUCGUGUAUAUGAAUUGUUGUGCUUGUAUUGUGUACGUUUUUUGUCAAGGCGAAGCUAAAUAAAUAAAUAAAUAAAUAAAUAAAUUUUUUAUUGCCCUAUCUGAAAGAAUCGUCAAAACUGUAAAGCAACUUCUUUUGCACAUUUUUGUUUACGUGCUUCCUUGAUGGGAUAUUCAGUUUUCUUGAUAUGCAGUGCAAACAAAUUUACGUCACACUUUGCAUAAUGAGUUAUCGUUAAAUGUCAGGUUAUCGCGUAUAUAUAAGUGAUUAAAUCGUUUGAAAAUCCAUAUAUGCGUUAUACUGAGGACAAUGUAAAGCAUAUGCAAUUUUGCAAA